rnacentral:rRNA from 1 species
GACGAACGCUGGCGGCGUGCCUAAUACAUGCAAGUUGAGCGAUGAAGAUUGGUGCUUGCCCCAAUUUGAAGAGCAGCGAACGGGUGAGUAACGCGUGGGGAAUCUGCCUUUGAGCGGGGGACAACAUUUGGAAACGAAUGCUAAUACCGCAUAAUAACUUUAAACAUAAGUUUUAAGUUUGAAAGAUGCAAUUGCAUCACUCAAAGAUGAUCCCGCGUUGUAUUAGCUAGUUGGUGAGGUAAAGGCUCACCAAGGCGAUGAUACAUAGCCGACCUGAGAGGGUGAUCGGCCACAUUGGGACUGAGACACGGCCCAAACUCCUACGGGAGGCAGCAGUAGGGAAUCUUCGGCAAUGGACGAAAGUCUGACCGAGCAACGCCGCGUGAGUGAAGAAGGUUUUCGGAUCGUAAAACUCUGUUGGUAGAGAAGAACGGUGGUGAGAGUGGAAAGCUCAUCAAGUGACGGUAACUACCCAGAAAGGGACGGCUAACUACGUG